rnacentral:rRNA from 1 species
AUCCAAAACUGUAGUUCUUGAGUGGAGUAGAGGCAAGCGGAAUUCCGAGUGUAGCGGUGAAAUGCGUAGAUAUUCGGAGGAACACCAGUGGCGAAGGCGGCUUGCUGGGCUCUAACUGACGCUGAGGCACGAAAGCAUGGGGAGCAAACAGGAUUAGAUACCCUGGUAGUCCAUGCCGUAAACGAUGAAUACUAGGUGUGGGGGGACUGACCCCUUCCGUGCCGGAGUUAACACAAUAAGUAUUCCACCUGGGGAGUACGACCGCAAGGUUGAAACUCAAAGGAAUUGACGGGGGCCCGCACAAGCAGUGGAGUAUGUGGUUUAAUUCGAAGCAACGCGAAGAACCUUACCAGGUCUUGACAUCUGGCUAACGAAGUAGAGAUACAUUAGGUGCCCUUCGGGGAAAGCCAAGACGGGUGGUGCAUGGUUGUCGUCAGCUCGUGUCGUGAGAUGUUGGGUUAAGUCCCGCAACGAGCGCAACCCCUGCCGAUAGUUGCUACGCAAGAGCACCCUAUCGGGACCGCUACCGAUAAGGUGGAGGAAGGUGGGGACGACGUCAAAUCAUCAUGCCUCUUAUGACCUGGGCUACACACGUACUACAAUGGCCGUUAACAGAGGGACGCAAUACCGCGAGGUGGAGCAAACCCCUAAAACGGUCUCAGUUCAGAUUGCAGGCUGCAACUCGCCUGUAUGAAGUCGGAAUUGCUAGUAAUCGCGGAUCAGCAUGCGGCGGUGAUACGUUCCCGGGGCUUGUACACAC